UCCUGGGGUGGGGGUGUCUUGGGGAAUCCCAGACGAGCCCCCAAAUGUUGUGCCCC
rnacentral:miRNA from 1 species